rnacentral:rRNA from 1 species
UACGGGGGGAGCAAGCGUUGUUCGGAUUUACCGGGCGUAAAGGGCGCGUAGGCGGCGCAACAAGUCACUUGUGAAAUCUCCGGGCUUAACCCGGAGCGGUCAAGUGAUACUGUCGUGCUAGAGUGCGGAAGGGGCUACUGGAAUUCUCGGUGUAGCGGUGAAAUGCGUAGAUAUCGAGAGGAACACCUGCGGCGAAGGCGGGUAGCUGGGCCGACACUGACGCUGAUGCGCGAAAGCCAGGGGAGCGAACGGG